UAAUAUUUAUGCAGAGGUGACCUAAAGCCUUGUGCAUGGGAGGAAAAUCUAGAGGGUGACAACCGAGGAUAUAUGGCUAUCAGCCUAGAACGAGAGAGAACCACCUGACCAGUACCUGGAAUGAAACAUGCAUGCUGGAUGUCAUGCAUUAUGUUCUGAUGGAUUGUACUGAUGAACCCUGUACUUACGCCAUGUGAAUACACAGAGACAAAUAAGAAAAACAUCAUGUGAAAAUAGAGAUUGGAGUGAUGGGUGUCUCCUCGCCAAGAAAUGCCAAGUAACCACCAGAAGCAAGAAGAGAGGCAUAGAGAGUAGAUUCUCCCUCAGAACCUCCUGAGGGCAUCAAACUGCCAACACCUUGAUUUUGGACUUCAGCCUCCAGAAUUGUGAGAGAAUACAUUUCUGUUGUUUUAAGCCACCCAGUUUGUGGUACAGAGGGAAGAAAUUCUGACCCCAGGUCAGCCUCUGAAGCAUUCAUUGGACUUGGCUAUGCUGAAUCUAAGCUACGCUGACAAGGAUCUCUUAGUAUACAGAGCAGACAUCAAAUUUAACCGCAGAGACAUUUUACUUAGGAGAUCAACUAAGCAACUCCAUGAUUUAUAUCACUGAAAAAAAAAAAAACAGUGGCUAUUAAUUAGAAGCUCCCUAAGCUUUCUAUACCUCAUCUAUUCUUUGAAGAGACUGCCAAUGAUAAUAUAUCAAGUUAUUUUAA